ACGAGCAGUCGAGUACAUGUUUCUGGUCCUGAAUGUUUCAGCAGAGCUAUCAGAGCCGCAGUUAUCCCCCCCAAUUUCAGGUUGGCAACAGGAGUCAGCAAGUUCACUGGUGAGUCUAAGCCUGAAACUUGGCUUGAAGACUACCGAGUGGCAGUUCAGAUCGGUGGUGGGAACGACGAGGUGGCCAUGAAGCAUUUGCCCCUCAUGUUGGAAGGUUCUGCCAGAGCAUGGUUGACUCAAUUACCUCCUAGCAGCAUUUACACUUGGGAAGAUCUGUCCCGAGUGUUCGUCAGAACGUUUGAAGGGACUUGCAAGCGACCAGCGGGAUUGACAGAGUUGCAAGUCUGCGUGCAGAAAACUAAUGAGACUCUCAGAGAGUAUAUUCAGAGGUGGAUCACUCUGCACCACACUAUGGAAAAUGUCUCUGAUCAUCAGGCAGUAUGCGCCUUCAAAGACGGCGUCAAGAACAGAGAACUGAGUUUGAAAUUUGGUCGAACCGGUGACAUGACCUUGAGUCGGAUGAUGGAGAUUGCUACCAAGUACGCCAACGGCGAAGAAGAAGACCGACUCCGAAGCGGCAAGCACAAGCCGAGUCAGUCGGAAAAAGGAAACACCAGUCGGAAACAGAAGCGGAAGGCUGAACCGGCAGCUCCUGGAGAGGCUCUGGCCGUGACUCAAGGAAAGUUUAAGGGGAAACCA
rnacentral:rRNA from 1 species